rnacentral:hammerhead_ribozyme from 1 species
AUCUAACUGACGAGUCCCAAACAGAACGAAACGCGCGUCCUGGAU